GGUGGGCGCAGCUCCAGCUACAAGUAAAAAUGAUCAUGGAAAAACACAAGGUUCUGGUUUGGGCAAAAUCCCCAAUUGCUGCGAUGUAAUGCUCUCUCCUUAACCAAUGACUCAAGCAGCGAUGCCCACUGUAAUGGAGCUUCCUCUAUUCACGACCUUUCAAUCUGUUUCUUGUGUAUCUCUGUGUCCUUUCUCUUCAAAGUGCGCCUUCUAUGGCCGCUUUAUUUGCCGCGUGAAGUUGAGUAAGAGAUUGGGUUCUAGUAACUCUAACCGCUCUCUUCGAAUAUCCAUGAGUUCUGUAGAGAAGGAUGGAGAUUAUAAUGGUGUGAGUUUCUUGGGGAAUUCUCAGUUCGUUGAAGUGAUUGGCAUUGGUAGCAGGAUGGAUGCUGUUCUCGAUUUCUGCUUGGAUUCGCCUUUCCAGUUAUCGUCGUCGCUGAGAUUCUGGAAUAUUAACGUCAAAGAUCCUCUGAAUGUGCAAUUACAAGAAAGAAUUCCUGGAAAAGAUCUUAAUCCGAGGGUUUUGGAAGCUUCCCAGUUUCUGCGAUCUUGUUCAACAGCUAUUAUCCUUGUGGCUAGUGCUGGAUAUGGCUUGGAUCAUGUUACAGCAAUCGAUUUACUUAAAACAGUAAGAUGUAGAAAUGGAUUUGCAGUUUCUAUUUUCCUGAGGCCUUUCAGCUUUGAAGGACAAAGGCGCCAGGAUGAGGUGAAAAAUUUGGCAGGAAAGCUUCAAGAUCAUACAAAUUUUUGCAUUGAUAUUGACACUGACGCAUUACUAAACAAGGAUUUGGUCACUCUAGAUGAGGCUUUGAAGUCUGCAAAUAGUGCUGUUCUGUUGGCCAUAAAUGCCAUCUCGGUUCUCAUCUCAGAGACACACCAGAAGUUAAUUGGUAUACUACAUAAUAGCGUGAAAGAACUCAAAGUUUCAGAGGUUAUGAAAAUUCUGGAAAGCCACAAAGAAGCAAAAAUUGGAUUUGGAGCUGGUAACAGCAUCGAAAGUUCAAUUAUACAAGCUUUAUAUGACUGUCCUUUCAUGGGUGCUGGUAUUGAGAACUUAAAUGGCAUCAUUAUUUGCAUCGUUGCAAGUUCAGGUUUCAUUGAAAAUGAAGAUGUACAUACCUCUUUGCUUACUUUUCGUCAAACUGCAGCAUACAUGGGGAAAAUCAUUAUUUCUACAACUCAUGAACCUAAUCUGGAUCAUGACAUGAUAGUAACUACAGUUGUUGCUGUGGGCUGCAGUGAAGAGCAGACUCCACAGAGAGGUAGCUUGUUAUCCAGACUGGCCUGGCAUUUCCCUUUUGUUUUUAAACUUUUAGGGAGACACGGUCAACAACCAGAUGAUAUUGAAGGAAUCAAUGGUAUUGAUGAACACUCUGAGGAACAUGAGAUGCUACCAAACAGCAAAUGCAAUGACAUCUACAGUUCAAGGAGUUAUGGUAGUGAAGCUAAAGAAAACGAGAUUGGUUUAUUAGAUGGCAGGGGCAACUCUUCUGAUUUUUAUGACCAACUUGCUGAAGAAACUCCUGCCCUCCACAGGGAGCCACCUGUUAGUUGGAACUUGGGACCAGGAUAUCAGAUUGCACAAGAGUGGGCCAGAGAAAGGACUGGAGCUACUUCUGUGCUUGAUACCCUGAGCAUCUUCCGCCUUCCAGUUGGUGUAAGGCAUCCAGAAGAAUCUAAAGAGGGUCUGAAUAUCUCAUAUGCUGCAGAACUCCCAGAGCUAAAAACUGAGGGUGAUGACAAAGAACAAAAGCAUGUUAAUUCCGGAAUCUCUUCUUGGGGGGCAUUGACUGAUGCUGGUUUUGUUUUAGUAAGAGAUUUUUAUAAUAAUGCAUCUACAAUGUUAAAGGGUAGAAAUGCUGAUGUACCAAAAAAACAAGGAGUUCUUUCUGUUCGUGCUGCAUCUAUGCUGGUAAUCAACUAAUUCUACAAUUUAAAGUGGCUGCAUUUUAACACAUUUAGAUAUUUAGAGCCAAGUGUGAACCCAAGGAAUUAUAGCUUUCUAUCUUGCUUUCUGGUGUUAAGAAAUGAUGUUAACCUCAUGAAAUGGUAUGCUUUUUUCUAGUUUUUGUUAGUGGGGUUAACCCAUCCUUUUCAGCACUUCAAGGACUUCUGUUCUAAUUGUUUAGUUCCAUCCAGGAAGCUGAGCGAGAUUCCCCAAAAAAGUGGAGUCCUGUUAUGGAGAUGCAGUACAGAGGGGGGGUGUAUAGAGGGCGAUGCCAAGGAGGUCUUCCUGAAGGGAAGGGCCGUCUUAUCCUUGGAGGUGGAAGCAUAUAUGAUGGUAUGUGGCGUUAUGGCAAGAGAUCAGGUUUAGGUGCAUUCUACUUUAGAAACGGAGAUGUGUUUCAGGGGUCAUGGAGGGAUGAUGUGAUGCAUGGCAAGGGUUGGUUUUAUUUCCACACUGGAGACCGAUGGUUUGCAAACUUUUGGAAGGGAAAGGCCAAUGGUGAAAGCCGUUUCUAUUCAAAGUCUGGUGAAGUCUUUUUUGGUCAAUUCCAAGAUGGAUGGCGACAUGGCCACUUUCUUUGCAUUGAUGUUGAUGGAGCAAGGUUUGUGGAGACAUGGGAUGAAGGUGUUCUCGUGAGCCGGAAGCACCUGAACUAUGAUAGUGAUGCUGGUUAGAAAUUUUUGUUUUUUUUUUUUAAAAAAAAAUUAUAAUAUUUUUCAGUUGCCUGUAUAUCCCCUAUGUAUUUCACUUGUAUGCCGUAAGAAGUUUUGAACAAGAACGUUCAGGACCUUUGUGCUGUGCAUUGUACUUUCCGGUAACCCCUCAUUUUUAUUGACCUUCAUACUCGUUAAGGU
rnacentral:misc_RNA from 1 species